rnacentral:rRNA from 1 species
CAGUCGCCGCGGGAAUACAGAGGGUGCGAGCGUUAAUCGGAUUUACUGGGCGUAAAGCGUGCGUAGGCGGCUUCUUAAGUCGGAUGUGAAAUCCCUGAGCUUAACUUAGGAAUUGCAUUCGAUACUGGGAAGCUAGAGUAUGGGAGAGGAUGGUAGAAUUCCAGGUGUAGCGGUGAAAUGCGUAGAGAUCUGGAGGAAUACCGAUGGCGAAGGCAGCCAUCUGGCUUAAUACUGACGCUGAGGUACGAAAGCAUGGGGAGCAAACAGGAUUAGAGACCCCCGUAGUCCCUGUCUCUUAUAA